GUGUGGCCCUUAAAAAAAAAAGAGGGACAGGAAUGGCUUCAGGGGAUAGACAGCAGCCCCCUGAGGAGAGGCAGAAGCCACAGACUGGGAACUCAGUUCCGAGAACCCCUUCCAGGGACCCUGGGCGCUCUUCCUUCUCCGAUGGCAGGAGAAAUGAGCACAGGAAGUGAGAGAGGUGCCACAUCCAGGGCUCCUGGCUUUGAAGUGGUGUCCUGGGCCCAGGAGGGCCGGUUGGGAACUGAUGCGGAGGCCCAUCUGCCUCCCUCAGCCACCUGUCCACCGACAAGAGCAGGACCCCAGGGGAGAAGAUUUGGGCAAGUGGUGGGACCAGGGGUGACAUGGUCUAACAAGGUGAUUGCAAAACCUAGAAAGAAACAUGGGAACCCUCAGUAUGGUCUAGAUGUCAGCUUUCCCAACCUGAUCUAGGGACUCAGCACAGUACCAGUUCUUGGAAAAGCAACUGCUGGUGAGGUUUUUGUUGUCAUUUUGCUGGAUACGGUGGUCAAAUUGGCUUUCCAAAAGCCCCUCCUACAAACUGCCAAUUCCCUCACACCUUUAAAAGGUGAGGUCAAUUUUGUAAACACCCGGUAAUGUGACAGGUGAAGAUACUCUCAUUUGAACUGGCCCUUCCCUAGGGAUUGGACAGGUGGGGCAGUAUUUCAUCUGUGAAAUGCCUACUGGUGUUCUUGCUCUUUGCCUUUCCCUCAUUUAUCUUAGGACAAUUUCAUAAUUACAGGAAUUGGAUUUAAAUUCAAAAUGUGUUACGCUCUUCCCCCAUUUGCCUUUUAAUUUUAAAAUACAUUUUAAAUUUGUGUGUAGUCAAGUGUAUCGUCCUUCUCCUUUGGGUCUCCAGGUUUAUUGUGAUACUUAAGACUAUAAAAACAUUCACCGACGCCGCAGUACAUUUGUUGUUUCGUUUUUAGAGUUGAAUGUUUGAUCCAUCUGGAUUUUAUUUCAGUAUUAGGCACUGAGGGAGGGAGCCAACUUCUACUUUUCCAAAUGGCCGGCCAGUCGUCCCAACGCCAUUCGACUGAAAAGACUUUAAAACCCUUCCCGGGGCUUGAAGCGGCCGCUCCCCCAGCUCACUCCAAGCUCGCGUGUCCGCCGGGGCCCGGGUUCAGGGACCCCGCGCCGCCAGGUUUCUGCGGCCCACCGGCCCAAGAGCCCUGGUGCAGCGCGACCCAGUCGGAGGGGGCGAACAGCAGGGCCUGGGGCCGAUACGCCCCUCGGCUGAGAACGGAUCCCUCUCCUACCCGCCCAAGAUCGACCACCAAACCCCCGACACCGCCUUGCAAUUUCCCCUGCUGCCCUCCGAGGACGAACCCCGACGCCCGCCUGGAGGUUUCCCCAACCUCUAGCCUCCUCCCUCCGGGCUCAGACCCUUUACUCUCGCCCCCUCCCCCCUCCCGCUCUCUUCCCGGGUGGUCUCAAGAAUGGGGCGGGGCUUUCGGCGAAGGUAAUUUAAAUAAAAGGCGUGUGCUCCGGUUCUAUUUGCAUAGAGGCGGGGCCUCUGGAGCCGGGAGGCCGGAACACCCAGUCGGGUGGGAGCCCUGGACCUCCUCCUCCCUCCGAGAGACUCUGGGGGCGGGAGCCUUCCGGACCUAAUUUGCAUGGGGCGGGGCUUGCCUCCCCGAGAGGAGCCGGGCGCCACUUCGCUCUUCAGCCGGCUUCCGCCGCUUGCUUCCGCCUUCCGCCGGCUCUCCUUCUGCUCUCCUGCCGGCUUCUCCGUGUCGCGGGGCGCCGAGGCCAGGGCCGGGAUGCUCCCCAGACGGCGGCGAGCGCGGGUCGGGCCGCCUGAGGCCGCCCCCUCCUCCGCCGCGCGCUUCCCCGGGGUCGCGAUCUACUUGGCCGAGCCACGCAUGGGCCGCAGCCGCCGGGCCUUCCUCACACGCCUGGCGCUCUCCAAGGGCUUCCGAGUCCUGGACGCCUACAGCCCCGAGGUGACACACGUGGUGAUGGAGGGGACCUCAGCAGAGGAGGCCAUCUCCUGGCAGGAGCACAGGACGCCGUCCCUUCCCCCGGGUUGCAGCCACCCGGCGCUGUUAGACGUAAGCUGGUUCACGGAGAGCAUGGCGGCUGGCCAGCCUGUCCCUGUGGAGCGCCGGCACCGCCUGGAGGUGGCUGUGCCCAGGGAGGAGCUGCCAAGUCCAGUGUGGAUGCUGCCCUAUGCCUGCCAGCGUCCCACACCCCUCACGCACCACAAUGCCAGCCUCUCGGAGGCUCUGGAGACGCUGGCGGAGGCAGCAGACUUCGACGGCAGUAAGGGCCGCCACGUCUCCUUCUGCAGAGCAGCCUCGGUGCUCAAGGCCCUUCCCAGCCCCGUCACGGCCCUGAGCCAGCUGCAGGGGCUGCCCCACUUCGGAGAGCACUCCCGCAGGGUCAUCCAGGAGCUGCUGGAACACGGAGUGUGCGAGGAGGUGGAGAGAGUCCGGCUCUCCGAGAGGUACCAGACCAUGAAGCUCUUCACCCAGAUCUUCGGGGUCGGGGUACGGACUGCCGAUCAGUGGUACCAGGAGGGGCUGCGGACGCUGGACGACCUCCGAGAGCAGCCCCAGAGACUGACCAAGCAGCAGAAAGCAGGCCUGCAGCACUACCAGGACCUGAGCGCCCUGAUCCUGCGGUCAGAAGUGGAGGCCCUGCAGCAGGUGGUGGAGGCAGCUGUGGGGCAGGUCCUGCCGGGGGCCACCGUAACGCUGGCCGGCGGCUUCCGGAGGGGUCCGGGAGACCACAGAGGCUGUGAGUCAGACUGGCCCCCUCAGGGGGAAGUUGCAGGGCCACGACGUGGACUUCCUCAUCACCCACCCCCAGGAGGGCCUGGAGGCAGGGCUGCUGCCCAGCGUGAUAUGCUGUCUGGAGAAGCAGGGCCUCGUCCUGUACCACCAGCACCAGCGCGGCCAACAGGGAGACCCCACCCACCUGGCCCAGAAGCCCCACGCCAUGGAUGCCUUUGAGAUGAGUCUCUGCAUUUUCCGCCUGCCACGCCCCCCAGAGGCUGCCGUAGGGGGGCCCCGGGAGCCCUGCCCCCCCUGGAAGGCUGUGCGAGUGGACCUGGUGGUCACCCCCAUCAGCCAGUUCCCCUUCGCCCUGCUCGGCUGGACUGGCUCCAAGCAUUUCGAGCGGGAGCUGCGCCGCUUCAGCCGGAAGGAGAGGGGGCUCUGGCUGAACAGCCAUGGUCUGUUUGACUCGGAGCAGAAAAUGCCUUUCCACGUGGCUUCAGAGGAGGACAUCUUCGGACUCCUGGGCCUGGAGUACCUUCCCCCAGAGCAGAGAAAUGCCUGAUCCUAUCAGGUGGCCCCCACUUCCAUUCUUUGGAAAUGGGGGAGGCAUUUGAGCCAGAUCCCAUGGGUGUCUUUGGCCCCCGAAUGUUUCCGGGCAGAAGAUGCACCGCUGCCUCAAGUUCUCCCACGUGGGAGCCUCGUCUGUGUGGACCACCCCUCCUCCCCCCACACCGUGUUCAAGAUGAAAUGAAAUGAGCAUAUGGAACAAACUAAGCCGUAUUUUCUGACUGUGCUGCUGAUGAGGCUGACUGGGGAGCAUGGUGUCUGGUUCUGCCCAGAGGUCGGUCCUGCCUGGGCAGGUGGCCGUCCGUGAGCUGUAGGGUGUCAGUCAGGGUCAGGAAUGUUGACCUAAAACAAACAGACUUCAGUUAUUUCUCCAGCAAAAAUGGGUUUAUUCAGAGUCAGCAGAGAAUGGGUCUGCAGCCACGGCAAGUCAUAGACAAGUGCCCAGCAAAAAAUGGAGAGAAAACUUAUGGAGGAGGAAAAGGAAUUGGGGGUGGGGGGUGGCCAUAGUAAACACCAGUCCCUGGCUUUUCAUUGGCUUGCGUUGCUACCAGGAGAGAGAGGACAGCUUUCUUCCUGAGGGCCUCUGGUGUCAUUACAGGGUACGAGAGCUCCCCCUUCUGGGUUCCCAACUAUAUUGAACUGAGGUUUCUGUUUAUUAACUUUUUUACAUUUUCCCCUUUUGAUCAAGAUCUUUUUCUGAAAGCACCACUGAUCUGAGUUAGGUUUUCCAGCUUCAGGGUCCUUUUGUCCCUCAGCACAAGGAGGGCCCUUUCCUGUGCACAGAUUGGAAAUCUGUUGACAUAUUUAAGUAGGAGGGAGGGGGUAGGAGGGAGAGUGCUCAGGUACUUUUUAAUCGCAAGUCCUGGGUUACCAAGAUCCUAGCUGUUAGCAUCUAAAGCAUAUUAUGUCCUCAAAGGUUUGGUGACAAGCGUCCACCAGGCCUGGUCCAGAUACCUUUUGGAAGCAGCUAUAUCAUCACAUGUCAUCGGCUUCAGUUCAGGGAAGUCUUUACUUCCCUGCAGAUGAGUUGCGGGACCAGACGAGGUUGGGUGCUUUCUUUUAAGUGUGUCAUGUGAGUCCAAACGUGUAUCCCUUGGAGUUCUGUGCCACAAGGGUUGGUUAGAAGCACCUCAUAGGCGCCUUUCCAGCAAGGAGAGUUCCUCUGGAGGGGUCACUUCCAGCAGAUGACAUCUCCAGGUAGCAAAGGUGUGAUGCUUACGGCCCCUCCUCUCCCAAGGGUUCCUAUGGAAAGAUCGCUCUACCGAAUGGUGGUUAGCAGGCCUUUGCAGUAUGGGAGUAUCUCGGAAUCCGUUGUAAGUCAAAAGAGGGAGGAGCCAAGAACACCGGGCAUCCUGUGACUGUCUCAAAGGGUGAAAGCUUCUAAGUUCCAAAAUAGGAGCAUCUAAGAUUUCGUUAGAAGGCCCAACAGCAGGAGUUCGCAUCGUGGCUCAGCGGUUAACAAAACCAACUAGCAUCCAUGAGGAUACAGGUUCGAUCCCUGGCCUCGCUCAGUGGGUUAAGGGUCUGGCAUUGCCGUGAGCUGUGGUGUAGGUCUCAGACGCAGCUUGGAUCCCACGUUGCUGUGUCUGUGGUGUAGGCCGGCGGCGACAGCUCCGAUUCGACCCCUAGCCUGGGAAUCUCCAUAUGCCGUGGGUGCGGCCCUAAUAACACAAAAAGACAAAAAAUAAGGACUGACAGCAGUGCUUUUGAUCAAGGUCGUUGGAGGCCCUCUGCAUGUUUGGCCGAUUGAGUCUUAAUGGUGCCGCUGGUGUGUUUGACCAAAUCCGGACUGGGCGGGGGGGGGGGUGAGCACAGGGAGAGGAUAAGCCUGGCCACGCAGCGCGAACUUGUUAAAGCGCUUGGCUGGCCACGUGGCUUCCUCUGUCACUGCCAAGUCUGAGGGGAGUCCCUCAGUGGGGAACAUCGUUUCCAGAAGGACUCGAGCCACAGAAGAGGUGGUAGCCGAUCGGCCGUGGGAAGCUCCGGUCCAUUGUGAGAACACGGACUCACACACGCUUACGUUCACGCUGCAGAGAAGUGCGUGAAUCCACCCGCCAGACCUCGGAUUCUCCUUUAAGGAGUUUAACGUGUCUGGGAGCAGUACAAGCAGGCUUCCCUGGUUUGUACUUCAGACAAGUGGGACAGUGAGGGAGGUGCUUUUUGUUUGCUAAUGUUCCUGCGCCGGUACUGACUCACGAAGGCUGUCGUUUUGUCUGUAGACCAGGGGUUUCUUGCAUGUCCCCUAGAGAGGAGGGGGAUUGUAGAAUUUCUGGUGGGACUAGAUUGUUACUUGGUCUGAACCACAGCGCGCUUUCUUUAUCAAACCAGUAAGUACUGGAUUUCCAAGCUUGUUUUUCCUUUCCUGAGGCCGGUUUUUGUGCUUCUCUAGCCAGUUUUUUAAAGUUAUCCUUUGGGGGAAAUCUCCCUUUGGACCAUGACAGAACAUUCCUUUAGCUGCUGUUGGUUCCUUUAAGGGCGUGAUUCUUGCAGAAAGUUCAGCAAGGUGAUUUACCUUAUCUUCCAGAGAGUCAAGUUUAGAAUGCCCUGGAAUCUUAGAAGUAACUCAAGGGUAGGUGAGAGUAUUGCAUCCAAUAAUCCUGAACAUUGGGGCCAUUUUAAAUUUUAUUUCUGCUGGAAGUGGGGAAGCCGUGUUGCUUCCACAACAUUCCAAAGUAAUGAGCUAUUCCGAAAACAUGUCUACAAUCAACAUAAGUAUUGGCAGUUUUGCCCUUGGCUAAAGUAUAAGCCUGUGUAAGAGCAUAUCAUUCAA